rnacentral:rRNA from 1 species
GUAACGCGUAGGAAUCUAUUCCAGAGGUGGGGGACAACAGUGGGAAACUACUGCUAAUACCGCAUGUUACCUGAGGGUUAAAGGUUGAUCGCAAGAUAGAUCGCCUUUGGAGGAGCCUGCGUCUGAUUAGCUUGUUGGGUGGGGUAACGGCUACCAAGGCGACGAUCAGUACUGGUCUGAGAGGAUGAUCAGCACAUUGGGACUGAGACACGGCCAAACUCCUACGGGGAGGCAGCAGUGGGGAAUAUUGGACAAUGGGCGCAAGCCUGAUCCAGCAAUGCCGGGUGUGUUGAAGAAAGGUCUUCCGGGAUUGUAAAAGCACUUUUGGCAGGGACGAUGAUGACGGUACCUGCAGAAUAAGCCCCGGCUAACUUCGUGCCAGCAGCCGCGGUAAUACGAAGGGGGCUAGCGUUGCUCGGAAUCACUGGGCGUAAAGGGUGCGUAGGCGGUUUUGUAAGUCAGAUGUGAAAUCCCUGGGCUCAACCUGGGAACUGCAUUUUGAAAACUGCAUGGUUAGAGUAUCGAAGAGGG